CGGGUGACACAGUGACAGAGUGAGGGAGCGGGUGACACAGUGACAGAGUUAGGGAGGGAGUGACUAGUGACAGAGUUAGGGAGGGAGUGACUAGUGACAGAGAGAGGGAUGGGGUGACUAGUGACAGUCACCCCCCCUCACUCUGUCACCAGUCAUCCCCUCUCUCUGUCACUAGUCACCCCUUCCCUCCCUCACUUUGCCACUAGUCAUCUCUUCCCUCCCUCACUCUGCCACUAGUCACCCAUUCCCUCACUCUGUCACUAGUCACCC